AGGAGUCUAUAUAAACACACAUCCUCCUUCUCUCUUCUCACUAUACUUCUCACUACUUCUCACUACUUAUUCAAAAACAGCAUAAAUUCUCUUGUUAAAUUAAAGUCAUGCAAAUUUUUGUGAAAAGUGUGGGGGGUAAAAUUGUGACUAUCGAUGUCACAGAUGACACGAUCACAAUCAAGAUGCUGAAAUCACUCGUUGAAGCUAAAGAGGGAACCUUGAGUGAUGAACAGAGAAUUUACUUCGGAGGGAAGGUCUUGGCCGACGAUGAUGCGACGCUCGGGGAUUAUUUCAUCAAGGAUGGGUCGAACCUCCAGCUUGUGGUGAGGCUCCUUGGUGGGGCUAAUAAUUAAGACUUGUAGAACAAGGUAAUGAUGGUGUAGCCAUUGUCCACUCCACCUUCUAUAAUAAGUCGUGUAGACUAAAUGAAAUUUCCAAUAAGAAUUGGUGUGUGGUCUCUUUGAUCUAGUCUGCUAUUUUUAAUGUAUUUUCAAGUUCAAGUACUUAAUGUAAGUCAUGUAUCGACUAAAUGAUUUCUCAUUGUUGUAUUGUCUUCCUCAAAAUAGUCUUACAAGAUUUAACUCAGCAUGUUCACCAA